rnacentral:rRNA from 1 species
GACGAACGCUGGCGGCGUGCUUAACACAUGCAAGUCGAACGGAAAGGCCCUGCUUUUGUGGGGUGCUCGAGUGGCGAACGGGUGAGUAACACGUGAGUAACCUGCCCUUGCCUUUGGGAUAACUUCAGGAAACUAGGGCUAAUACCGGAUAGGAGCUCCUGCUGCAUGGUGGGGGUUGGAAAGUUUCGGCGGUUGGGGAUGGACUCGCGGCUUAUCAGCUUGUUGGUGGGGUAGUGGCUUACCAAGGCUUUGACGGGUAGCCGGCCUGGGAGGGUGACCGGGCACAUUGGGACUGAGAUACGGCCCAGACUCCUACGGGAGGCAGCAGUGGGGAAUAUUGCACAAUGGGCGGAAGCCUGAUGCAGCAACGCCGCGUGCGGGAUGACGGCCUUCGGGUUGUAAACCGCUUUCGCCUGUGACGAAGCAUGAGUGACGGUAAUGGGUAAAGAAGCACCGGCUAACUACGUG